rnacentral:sRNA from 1 species
GGCAAAGCCCACCUUUGGUGGGCUU